rnacentral:rRNA from 1 species
UACGGGGGGAGCAAGCGUUGUUCGGAUUUACUGGGCGUAAAGGGCGCGUAGGCGGUCGUGACAAGUCACUUGUGAAAUCUCCGGGCUUAACUCGGAAAGGUCAAGUGAUACUGUCGGACUAGAGUACAGAAGGGGCAACUGGAAUUCUCGGUGUAGCGGUGAAAUGCGUAGAUAUCGAGAGGAACACCUGCGGCGAAGGCGGGUUGCUGGGCUGAUACUGACGCUGAGGCGCGAAAGCUAGGGGAGCGAACGGG